CUCCCUCUUUCCCCAUCUCACUGGUCCUAGCUUAUACUGUAUAGCCUAGCUGUCGUUCUCGUGCGCUUGGUUUGUGCUCUUGUGAGAAUCACGGCGGCUCAUGCACGCGUAAUCAACUGAGUAUUAGCGGCAAUUUUAAACCGAAAACUUCCCAUGCAUGUCGGGUUGUUAUUGAGACCUACAGCAGGAUAGAUAGCGUCUGGUCACGUCGACUAACCUUUGCUCAAGGUUAAAACAAGGAAAUGUGACCAUUACACACGUUUGAAGUAAACAAUAAGGAACUGGCAUGAACGUUACCGACUGAUAGACCAACACAAGAAAUGGAGAAGAUGAACUGCUCACCGCUGGGUAAGGCUGGGAAUUUUAGAAGAUGGGUUGAGAGACUUCAACGGGUCAUCCUUAUUAGUGUCCAGCACCUGAAGGCAAGAGGUCAAGAAAUAAAUGGGUCGCCUAUUUCAUAUACAGCCUUGCUAACAUGCAAAGAUAUCCAAUGUUACCUAAUGUUGGUCUAACAGGGAAGCAACACAUACGUCGUUUGUAUAACCCUUGAUCCUUGCAUUGUGAAUUGUUUUAUUUAUUUAUAGUAUGAUGAAAUUGAAACUUUUUCAACAUGCUUGUAGUCAAGAUUUUAUUCAUUCAUUAAAUUGGGCAUUUUUAUAAGAAAAAAAGAACACGUCUUGUGAUUAAUUUGCUGAACUGUGGGUGAUGAAAUAUUUAAUUUCUUGGGUAUUAAAAUGAUCAGUCUCGGAUCCAUUGAGAGGGUUGACAUUGUUGAAUCAGUACCCCACUAAGGUACUGCCGUAUAGGGAAUUAUUGCUUCAGUCUGAACAUGUCCCCUUUGUAAUAUAUCUAGGAAUAUAACGUUUGAUUAUCCUUUCUUUCUUUUUAGAUUUUCUCAAAUUUUCUCUUUCUUGUCUUGUUUAAAAUUUUAUAUACAAACAGAAAAUAAAAGAACAAUAAUUUCUAGUCUCUGUGUCCUUGCCUGGAUUUGAUUGAUAUAGAUAUUUCAUAUGCAUAAUGCAAAGUAACUCUUACACAUCAGAUUUUCAUAUUUAAAUAUUUUAGGCCUCAAAUAACACAGAAUAAGGUGAAGUGAAACAAAUAAGCAAGAAAACUGUCCAAUCACAGGCUUCAUAAUCUCAGAAAAGCUGGUCUGCUUUUUUCCUCCAAAUUGCAUGAGAAAAUGGUCAAGAUGCACACAUGAAGGUACUUUGGUCUGACGAUGAAAGUUCUAAUAUUCUCUUCUUUCUAUAUAUGUCACAUAGAAUUGAUCACAUGGGUCAACCAAAACACCUGAACACAAA